AUUGAACGCUGGCGGCAGGCCUAACACAUGCCAGUCGAGCGGAUGAAGGGAGCUUGCUCCUGGAUUCAGCGGCGGACGGGUGAGUAAUGCCUAGGAAUCUGCCUGGUAGUGGGGGAUAACGUCCGGAAGCGGGCGCUAAUACCGCAUACGUCCUGAGGGAGAAAGUGGGGGAUCUUCGGACCUCACGCUAUCAGAUGAGCCUAGGUCGGAUUAGCUAGUUGGUGGGGUAAAGGCCUACCAAGGCGACGAUCCGUAACUGGUCUGAGAGGAUGAUCAGUCACACUGGAACUGAGACACGGUCCAGACUCCUACGGGAGGCAGCAGUGGGGAAUAUUGGACAAUGGGCGAAAGCCUGAUCCAGCCAUGCCGCGUGUGUGAAGAAGGUCUUCGGAUUGUAAAGCACUUUAAGUUGGGAGGAAGGGCAGUAAGUUAAUACCUUGCUGUUUUGACGUCACCAACAGAAUAAGCACCGGCUAACUUCGUG
rnacentral:rRNA from 1 species